AGACGGAGGGGGCUAGCGUUGUUCGGAAUUACUGGGCGUAAAGCGCGCGUAGGCGGUCCGUUUAGUUAGGCGUGAAAGCCCUGGGCUCAACCCGGGAACUGCGUUUAAAACUGGCGGACUAGAGUCCGGGAGAGGGUGGCGGAAUUCCCAGUGUAGAGGUGAAAUUCGUAGAUAUUGGGAAGAACACCAGUGGCGAAGGCGGCCACCUGGCCCGGUACUGACGCUGAGGUGCGAAAGCGUGGGGAGCAAACAGGAUUAGAUACCCCGGUAGUCC
rnacentral:rRNA from 1 species